UUAAACGGAGUUCCCCUUUAAAUAAGGAAGAACAGUUUAACGGCCCGUUGCCAUGACCACAGCAAUGCUAACAUGUCCGGAGAAGAGAAACAAGAAGCAGAGUUCCUGCAGUGGGACGCGAUGCCAGUGCAAUUAAUACAGGAGCUGCAAGAACACAGCGCCGAGGAGCUUCUGCAGUAAGUAACCAGGUUAACCUGGA